GACGUAGGAGGCGAGCGUUGUCCGGAUUCAUUGGGCGUAAAGAGCACGCAGGCGGUUUGGCAAGUCGGAUGUGAAAACCCGGAGCUCAACUCCGGACCUGCAUCCGAAACUGCCCGACUAGAGGUAGGUAGGGGAGAUCGGAAUUCCUGGUGUAGCGGUGAAAUGCGCAGAUAUCUGGAGGAACACCGGUGGCGAAGGCGGAUCUCUGGGCCUUACCUGACGCUCAGGUGCGAAAGCUAGGGGAGCGAACAGG
rnacentral:rRNA from 1 species